rnacentral:rRNA from 1 species
UACGAAGGGUGCAAGCGUUACUCGGAAUUACUGGGCGUAAAGGGUGCGUAGGUGGUUUGUUAAGUCUGCUGUGAAAUCCCCGGGCUUAACCUGGGAAUUGCAUUUGAUACUCUGGAGCUUGAGUACGGGAGAGGAGAGUGGAAUUCCCAGUGUAGAGGUGAAAUUCGUAGAUAUUGGGAAGAACACCGGUGGCGAAGGCGGCUCUCUGGACCGUAACUGACGCUGAGGCGCGAAAGCGUGGGGAGCAAACAGG